CUUAUCAGCUUAAGGAGAUUUUGGGCUGAGACAAUGGGGUUUUCUAGAUAUACAAUAAUGUCAUCUGCAAACAGGGGCAAUUUGGUUUCCUCUUUUCCUAAUUGAAUACCCUUUAUUUCCUUCUCCUGCCUAAUUGCCCUGGCCAGAACUUCCAACACUAUGUUGAAUAGAUAUGGUGAGAGAGGGCGUCCCUGUCUUGUGCCAGUUUUCAAAGGGAAUGCUUCCAGUUUUUGCCCAUUCAGUAUGAUAUUGGCUGUGGGUUUGUCAUAGAUAGCUCUAAGUUCACUUCUUUUUAAGAGCUCCACAAGUCUGCUUGUACGUAGGUAUGUAGAUUUACCUGAAUAUUUAUCAAUUCAUUUGUUUUCCAUUCUUUCUCAUGUUAUGUCUCAGGCCUUUUAUACCAGUUUCUUUCUGCCACAAAGACAUCCUUAGAAUUUAGUUUAGUGAUGGUCUGGUGAAGACAAAUUUUCUCAUUGGUUGUCCAAAGGAAGCUUAAUUCCAAGUUUGUUCUUGAGAGGUAUUUUUGCUGGCAUAUGUUCAAUUUGUCAGAAUAUUUGUCAAUUGUAAACUUUUGUGCACUUAAUAAAAGAAUAUCAAAAAUAUAUAAUGUAUACAUUCUUAUAACUAGAAGGAACAGGCAACACAUAAACAAACCAUUGCAAUAGGAGACUUACAAUAAACUCUUAGUAAUUGAUUGUCCAAGAAGACAGAAAGCAACAUGGGCUUAGCAAAUUUUAACAGCACAUUAUCAAGCCUGACCUAAGAGAUAUGUAUGAGACAUGGUGGAUAACAACUUUAGGAUAUACAUUGUUGUGUAAGUCCCCAUUGACAGGACCGGCUUCAUAAUUUGAAGAGUGUAAUGCAAAAUAAAAAUGUAGGAACUUGUGUUCAAAAAUUAUUAAAAAUGUAAUAGUAACAGUUGUGAUAGCAAAUCAAUAACACAUGCAUGGAACCCUUCUGAACAUGAGCCCUGUACAAGUAUACAGGUCCCACACCCAUGAAGCAGACCCUGCCCAUAGAAUAUUUAUGAAAUUUAUCACAUUCUGAGGCAUAAAACAAGUCUCAACAAAUUUCAAAGAAUUCAUGUUAUAUAGACCACAUCAUCCAAAUAUUUUUCAAUUCAUUUAGAAUUCAACCACAAAAAUAUAAGUACUAAAAAGCCCAUAUGUUUGGAAAACAAUAAACACUUCUAAAUAAAUUAUCUGUGCAAAGAAAAUCAGAAUGAAAAUUCAAAAAUUUUUAGAAUACAAUUAUAUAAAUACUGUAUAUCAAAACAUGUGUGCAGUUGAUAGAGUAAUGGCAUUCCAAGAGAUGUUCAUGCUCUAACCCGUGAAAUCUUUGAAUAUGUUACCUUACACAGCCAGAGACUUUGCAGGUGUGAUUAUGUUAAAGAUUUCAAGAUUGGAAAUUAUCCAGGAGUAUUUGUAUGGGCCUGAUGUAAUUGAUAUAAUCAUAAGGGUCUUCAUAAGAGGAAGGCAGGAUGGUCAGAUACAGAGAAAGAGAUGUGAUCAUGGAAAGGAAAGAAGUGUUACAGGGAAAAGCCCAGGAGUCAAGGAAUACAGGUGCCUUUAGAAGCUGGAAAGGCAAGGAAAUGGAUUCUCUCCUAGAGGCUCCAGAAAGAACAUAACACAUCUACACUUUGGAUUGAGAACUUCUGACCUUCAGAAUCCUAAGAUUUAUAAUAAUAAAUUGGUGGUGUUUUAUGCCACAAAGUUUAUGGUAACUUUCUUUAGCAGCA
rnacentral:lncRNA from 10 species